rnacentral:rRNA from 1 species
UACGAAGGGGGCUAGCGUUGCUCGGAAUCACUGGGCGUAAAGCGCACGUAGGCGGAUUGUUAAGUCAGGGGUGAAAUCCUGGAGCUCAACUCCAGAACUGCCUUUGAUACUGGCGAUCUCGAGUCCGGGAGAGGUGAGUGGAACUGCGAGUGUAGAGGUGAAAUUCGUAGAUAUUCGCAAGAACACCAGUGGCGAAGGCGGCUCACUGGCCCGGUACUGACGCUGAGGUGCGAAAGCGUGGGAGCAACAGGAUUAAGAAACCCCG